UCUCAUACCUACAAUGGUUGCAAUAACCUCGUUUCUUAUUACAAGUAUACCUGCCUGAUUCUGACCAGGGAUCAAAAUAAGCAUUGUCAAAAACGGGACAGGUUGACAUUAUGUGUCCUUCGGUAUGACAUGCACAGAGGAAGAACACCACUUCUGUGAUAUUCCUGGCAAAAUGCAUAUACUAUCAUAAAGAAACCCAUCAUUCUAACCCAAACUGAGGGAGAUUCUACAAAAAAAAAAAAAAAAAAAAAUGGUGUGAAAUCUUCAAGAACUUUGAAGUCAUAAAAGAUAAAGAAUGGUUGAAGAAUACUACAGAGACAUCAAAAGUAAAUGUGACGCAUGAUCCUGGAUCGAAUCCAGAAACAGAAGGGAAAGGAAAUUUUUCUGUACCUACCAGAACAAUAGGUGAAAUUUGAAUGAGACAUUUUUGGCCAUGGAAGGCUUUCCCUCCCAUUUAACACCAAUCCCAUGACAUCCGGUGACACCUGUGUUUCUCCUGGUUUACUUCUUCCCCAAGGCUGUGUGAGCCAUUCGGGAGGCUGAAGGGAACCACCUAAAGGAUGUUGGUGAACAUUCCGAUGACAAUAAAGAAGGGUUCAAGAAAUAUCUGCUGAUCUCUUCGCUCUUGUCUGCCAAGGUUCUAACAGUGGUGGUAUCUGUUGUCUUUGACAUCACAGAAAAGAUAGGAACAGUUACAUUUUCCAAACCUCAACAUGAUAUAAAGUUUUUAAUAUUCUUCCUCUAAAUACCCAGCUUACGUUUAAUUGUUUAUCCUCAACUACAGUUUAUAAAAAUUACAAUUGCAGGGAGAAAAUAAAGCU